rnacentral:tRNA from 1 species
UCCCUGUUGCUGAAAUUGUCAGCAAUCAAACAGAUUCGGGUGAUUCUGCCUUUGACAAGGGGCGGACUGUUAAUCCGUAUGUCACUGGUUCGAGUCCAGUCAGAGGAGCCA